GUUUGGCUGCAUUGGCCAAUUGGAGGCGCUUUACUGGGAGCAGGCUGCUGAGUUUAAGCUUCAUAAACAGUUCCCAGGCUGUGGGACAGCAUAUUCUGCAGACAGCCCAGGAACGGCUUUAGAGCCAUGUACUUUGUCUGGGGCCCUGCUCUGUGCAGGCACGGUUCUCAGCCUCUAGGACAGAGCCAUGGGCAAAUCUAGCUGAGUUAUGCUGAGGCCAGGCUCCAGUGGACACUAUGUCCAGAGGCCUCUUCUAGAGGAGACUGGGAUCCGCACUGCAGCCAGGUCACCUGGAGAGGCCGGUGGAGUGGACGAAGCAGGCAAAGGCGGCAACAGAGUAGAGGUGCUGUCCAGGAGCUUCCGAGUCUCAGUCCCCACCAGGCGGGGCUGGGAGGCUCCCAGCGGCCGUCUGGCCUGCAGAUGCCACCAUGGAUACAGCAGAUCAAAUGAUGCAAGCAGUUACUGCCCUUUUACAGUUCAAGUGACAUCCAGGCCCCGGUGGACGCCAAGACCUCUAGGAGUAGAAGCCAGCGUCUCUACAGGCAGCUGUCACAGGAAUUCAACAGUGAGCGCCCCACGGCAGGUCUGCUCAGGUUCCCUCUACUCUUGCCCCAACCCCCAAGGUGUCUGUGUGUGCGAUCACCACAGCCAGCCCUACGCUCCAUUUUACAAAUGGAGAAACAGAUCAGAGCAGGGUGUGAGCCCUCCAAUUUCACACCAGCAACUGGUUGACCCCUGAGGAGACUCCAGGCCACCUGACAUGCAGUCACACCUUCCACACCUCUGGUUGUCUCCUUGUUUGGUGGCCUGGUGGGAGGGCAGAAGAGCCAGGGGGCAUGGCUGUUCAGCUUUGAUUGAUAGCAACCAUCAGUAAUCUGUUAGAUAGCCACAAACUAUCAUGGGCUUCACACUGAAACCUCAUAUCAACUCUGGAAGUAAAUUGUCUCAUUUGUCAUAACAGGACUCUGAGUCUCUGAAAGGCUAAGACUUGCCUGAGGUCCCCAGGCUGGGACACCAUGGAGCUGGGAGGACUUGAAUAGUAGUCCACAUGCUCUUGGCCCAUGGCUUCACUGUAGGUCUCUUGCAAGCACCAGGCUAUGGGACAUGCUUUUGGAAGUUCUGGAAGCGACUCCCGGUGGCCAAGCGGUGUCCACUGUGGUUGAGGGUGGGUCAGGGAAGGGUUCAGGUUGUUGAGAGUCCUGUGGGCCUCAGGACAGAGGGGGUGACUGACCUGAUUCUCCUGCCUGGGCUGCCCACCCUGACCCUCUCAGACAUUCCUCAUCGUAGGUGAAAUGGGGUAUUCCCAGAGGAGUGGGGUGUGGUCAGGGCGCAGGGAAGACAAAGGAUUUAUAAGCUAGAGACCCCCAGCAUGCCUGUCACGACCCGGCCCAGGGUGCUCUUCACCCCGAGAUGAUCGUGCACAUGGGGGGUCUCCUCCUUCCUCC
rnacentral:lncRNA from 1 species